UCGCUUUGGCAGCACAUAUACUAAAAUUGGAACGAUACAGAGAAGAUUAGCAUGGCCCCUGUGAAGGAUGACAUGCAAAUUCGUGAAGUGUUCCAUGUUAUA
ensembl:snRNA U6 U6 spliceosomal RNA